AAUUUUAUCGAUUUUUGUAUAAAGUUAUUGAUGAAUUUUAGAAUAAGAGUAUUUUCCAUUUGCCGAGAAAAAUAACACUGCAAUAGUCAAAGAUCUAUUGUAAAAUAAAAAUUAUAAUUUUUGAAAUUUUCAAUUCGGAUUGACUUUUGAAAGAAAAAAAAAGUCAUUUUAGUCGAUUUACAUUACAAGAAAAAUCUAAAAGUCAAUUUUUUUAUUUUAAAUAAAUUUAAUUAGUUUAUAAUAUUACGUCUCAGAAGGAGAUGCAUAAAACCUAUUUCUUUUAAACCUGUUUUAUUUACGAAGCAGAAGGCUUCGAAAUCAGGGAACAAGUAGGAAACAGAAUGCUUUUGUAGAUGAACCAAAGGUUUGUUUUUUUUUUACUUUUACAAAUUUAUCUCUCGUAGAAACUGGCAGGUUGAUUUUGUUCAAAUAUCUGAUCCCACUGAAAGCAGAAUCAAAAACUUAGAACUCAGAAUUAAAAUUUCCAGAGUAAAAUAUAAAUCAGAAUGACUUUACUUUAAUUUUUGUUCCUCCUGAAAUCAAUCGGUUGAGGAACGGACUAAGAUUGGCUCAAGUCGACAAACCCCAAUAUUGGCGGUAGAAUGGCUUGAGAUUGUUGAAGAAUCAACGUUGGCGAAGGAAUGGCUCGAGGUUAUUGAAAGUUCCAAGAAAAGCUACCUCAAAGCUGACAAGAUCCAAAUAGAGCAAAACUGGCUCAUAGCUGGCGGAGAUUCCAAUAGAGUAAACUGGCUCGAGGCUGGCGGAGAUCCUAAUAGAGUAAAACUGGCUCAAGCCUGGUGAAGACCAAAAAGAGCAAAACUGGCCCAAAGCUGGCGAAGAUCCAAAACAAUAUGGCUUUUUUGUAUAGACUUAUGAAUGGAGCUAUCUUUUGUCCUUCACUUCUCUCUAUGAUAAAUUUAUCAGUGCCCAGAAUGUUUUCUAGGCGAUAUACAUUGUUUUCGGUGGCAUUUCACAGAACUAAUUAUGGUAAUAACUCAUUGA